AGUGAACGCUGGCGGUAGGCCUAACACAUGCAAGUCGAACGGCAGCACAGUAAGAGCUUGCUCUUACGGGUGGCGAGUGGCGGACGGGUGAGGAAUACAUCGGAAUCUACUUUUUCGUGGGGGAUAACGUAGGGAAACUUACGCUAAUACCGCAUACGACCUACGGGUGAAAGCAGGGGAUCUUCGGACCUUGCGCGAUUGAAUGAGCCGAUGUCGGAUUAGCUAGUUGGCGGGGUAAAGGCCCACCAAGGCGACGAUCCGUAGCUGGUCUGAGAGGAUGAUCAGCCACACUGGAACUGAGAAACGGUCCAGACUCCUACGGGAGGCAGAAGUGGGGAAUAUUGGACAAUGGGCGCAAGCCUGAUCCAGCCAUACCGCGUGGGUGAAGAAGGCCUUCGGGUUGUAAAGCCCUUUUGUUGGGAAAGAAAAGCAGCAGGUUAAUACCCCGCUGUUCUGACGGUACCCAAAGAAUAAGCACCGGCUAACUUCGUG
rnacentral:rRNA from 1 species